rnacentral:rRNA from 1 species
CAAUAGCGUAUAUUAAAGUUGUUGCAGUUAAAAAGCUCGUAGUUGGAUUUCGGGACGGUCCGGCUGGUCCGCCGCAAGGCGUGUUACUGACCGGGCUGUCCUUCUUUGCAAAGGCUGCAUGUGCUCUUAACUGAGUGUGUGUAGGAUUUGUGACGUUUACUUUGAAAAAAUUAGAGUGUUCAAAGCAGGCCAGCGCUUGAAUACAUAAGCAUGGAAUAAUGGAAUAGGACUUUGGUUCUAUUUUGUUGGUUUCUGGAACCGAAGUAAUGAUUGAAAGGGACAGUUGGGGGCAUUUGUAUUUCGGUGCUAGAGGUGAAAUUCUUAGAUUACCGAAAGACAAACUGCUGCGAAAGCGUCUGCCAAGGAUGUUUUCAUUGA